UUAAGCGACUAAGCGUACACGGUGGAUGCCCUGGCAGUCAGAGGCGAUGAAGGACGUGCUAAUCUGCGAAAAGCGUCGGUAAGGUGAUAUGAACCGUUAUAACCGGCGAUGUCCGAAUGGGGAAACCCAGUGCAAUUCGUUGCACUAUCGUUAACUGAAUACAUAGGUUAACGAGGCGAACCGGGGGAACUGAAACAUCUAAGUACCCCGAGGGAAAAGAAAUCAACCGAGAUUCCCCAGUAGCGGCGAGCGAACGGGGAACAGCCCAGAGUCUGAAUCAGCUUGUGUGUUAGUGGAACGGUCUGGAAAGUCCGACGGUACAGGGUGAUAGUCCCGUACACCAAAAUGCACAGGCUGUGAACUCGAAGAGUAGGGCGGGACACGUGGUAUCCUGUCUGAAUAUGGGGGGACCAUCCUCCAAGGCUAAAUACUCCUGACUGACCGAUAGUGAACCAGUACCGUGAGGGAAAGGCGAAAAGAACCCCGGCGAGGGGAGUGAAAAAGAACCUGAAACCGUGUACGUACAAGCAGUGGGAGCACUUCGGGUGUGACUGCGUACCUUUUGUAUAAUGGGUCAGCGACUUAUAUUCUGUAGCAAGGUUAACCGUAUAGGGAGCCGCAGGGAAACCGAGUCUUAACUGGGCGUUAAGUUGCAGGGUAUAGACCCGAAACCCGGUGAUCUAGCCAUGGGCAGGUUGAAGGUUGGGUAACACUAACUGGAGGACCGAACCGACUAAUGUUGAAAAAUUAGCGGAUGACUUGUGGCUGGGGGUGAAAGGCCAAUCAAACCCGGGAGAUAGCUGGUUCUCCCCGAAAGCUAUUUAGGUAGCGCCUCGUGAAUUCAUCUUCGGGGGUAGAGCACUGUUUCGGCUAGGGGGUCAUCCCGACUUACCAACCCGAUGCAAACUACGAAUACCGAAGAAUGUUAUCACGGGAGACACACGGCGGGUGCUAACGUCCGUCGUGAAGAGGGAAACAACCCAGACCGCCAGCUAAGGUCCCAAAGUCAUGGUUAAGUGGGAAACGAUGUGGGAAGGCACAGACAGCCAGGAUGUUGGCUUAGAAGCAGCCAUCAUUUAAAGAAAGCGUAAUAGCUCACUGGUCGAGUCGGCCUGCGCGGAAGAUGUAACGGGGCUAAACCAUGCACCCGAAGCUGCGGCAGCGACACUAUGUGUUGUUGGGUAGGGGAGCGUUCUGUAAGCCUGCGAAGGUGACCUGUGAGGGUUGCUGGAGGUAUCAGAAGUGCGAAUGCUGACAUAAGUAACGAUAAAGCGGGUGAAAAGCCCGCUCGCCGGAAGACCAAGGGUUCCUGUCCAAACGUUAAUCGGGGCAGGGUGAGUCGACCCCUAAGGCGAGGCCGAAAGGCGUAGUCGAUGGGAAACAGGUUAAUAUUCCUGUACUUGGUGUUACUGCGAAGGGGGGACGGAGAAGGCUAUGUUAGCCGGGCGACGGUUGUCCCGGUUUAAGCAUGUAGGCUGGUUAUCCAGGCAAAUCCGGAUAAUCAAGGCUGAGGUGUGAUGACGAGGCACUACGGUGCUGAAGUAACAAAUGCCCUGCUUCCAGGAAAAGCCUCUAAGCAUCAGGUAACAUCAAAUCGUACCCCAAACCGACACAGGUGGUCAGGUAGAGAAUACCAAGGCGCUUGAGAGAACUCGGGUGAAGGAACUAGGCAAAAUGGUGCCGUAACUUCGGAGAAGGCACGCUGGUGUGUAGGUGAAGCCCCUGCGGGUGGAGCUGAGACCAGUCGAAGAUACCAGCUGGCUGCAACUGUUUAUUAAAAACACAGCACUGUGCAAACACGAAAGUGGACGUAUACGGUGUGACGCCUGCCCGGUGCCGAAGGUUAAUUGAUGGGGUUAUCCGUAAGGAGAAGCUCUUGAUCGAAGCCCCGGUAAACGGCGGCCGUAACUAUAACGGUCCUAAGGUAGCGAAAUUCCUUGUCGGGUAAGUUCCGACCUGCACGAAUGGCGUAAUGAUGGCCAGGCUGUCUCCACCCGAGACUCAGUGAAAUUGAACUCGCUGUGAAGAUGCAGUGUACCCGCGGCAAGACGGAAAGACCCCGUGAACCUUUACUAUAGCUUGACACUGAACAUUGAGCCUUGAUGUGUAGGAUAGGUGGGAGGCUUUGAAGCGUGGACGCCAGUCUGCGUGGAGCCAACCUUGAAAUACCACCCUUUAAUGUUUGAUGUUCUAACGUUGGCCCCUGACCGGGGUUGCGGACAGUGUCUGGUGGGUAGUUUGACUGGGGCGGUCUCCUCCCAAAGCGUAACGGAGGAGCACGAAGGUUAGCUAAUCCUGGUCGGACAUCAGGAGGUUAGUGCAAUGGCAUAAGCUAGCUUGACUGCGAGCGUGACGGCGCGAGCAGGUGCGAAAGCAGGUCAUAGUGAUCCGGUGGUUCUGAAUGGAAGGGCCAUCGCUCAACGGAUAAAAGGUACUCCGGGGAUAACAGGCUGAUACCGCCCAAGAGUUCAUAUCGACGGCGGUGUUUGGCACCUCGAUGUCGGCUCAUCACAUCCUGGGGCUGAAGUAGGUCCCAAGGGUAUGGCUGUUCGCCAUUUAAAGUGGUACGCGAGCUGGGUUUAGAACGUCGUGAGACAGUUCGGUCCCUAUCUGCCGUGGGCGCUGGAGAAUUGAGGGGGGCUGCUCCUAGUACGAGAGGACCGGAGUGGACGCAUCACUGGUGUUCGGGUUGUCAUGCCAAUGGCACUGCCCGGUAGCUAAAUGCGGAAGAGAUAAGUGCUGAAAGCAUCUAAGCACGAAACUUGCCCCGAGAUGAGUUCUCCCUGAGACUUUAAGUCUCCUGAAGGAACGUUAAAGACGAUGACGUUGAUAGGCCGGGUGUGUAAGCGCAGCGAUGCGUUGAGCUAACCGGUACUAAUGAACCGUGAGGCUUAACCUU
rnacentral:rRNA from 1 species